rnacentral:tRNA from 1 species
UAGCUCAGUUGGUAGAGCAGAGGACUGAAAAUCCUCGUG